rnacentral:rRNA from 1 species
UACAGAGGGUGCAAGCGUUAAUCGGAAUUACUGGGCGUAAAGCGUGCGUAGACGGUUAUGUAAGUCGGGUGUGAAAGCCCCGGGCUCAACCUGGGAAUUGCAUUCGAGACUGCAUAGCUAGGGUGCGGAAGAGGGAAGCGGAAUUUCCGGUGUAGCGGUGAAAUGCGUAGAUAUCGGAAGGAACACCAGUGGCGAAGGCGGCUUCCUGGCCUGUUCUUGACGCUGAGGCGCGAAAGCUAGGGGAGCAAACGGG